UUUUCUCAAGAAAACGUACGAGGGAGGAGGGCUGAGCAAUAUCGAACCCGAAAAUUGGUGCUUUCCUGUGGAAAGUCGCAUCAGUGCUCGUAAAGUAAAAUAUCCACUCGAUCAGAGGUAAAGUACAGUCGUCGGGUGUUCUACGAAACGCCUGCUCACGUUUGACACCAACAUCGCGUCUCGGAAACGAAAAUUCAGCCUCGGAGGUCCGAACAAAGGUUUCUAAAAGUAGAAAUGGCCGCCAUGACCGUGCCCACGGUAAAAGCGUCGUAGCAUCGCGAAAACUUUUAUUUCACACGUUCAAAGUGGUGUCCGUAGAGUCUAGAAAGACCAAGGAACACAUCGGUGCUAGCGGUGAUGAGAUACGACCAGUAUUAAUGAAGGGAGAUCAACGAGAAUGCUUCCCUUAAUAAAUAGUGCAAAAAAUAAACAAAAUAAUAAAGAAAAAAAUACCCGAUGCGAGUGGUGUGUCUGCCCUCCACCAGGCGGCGCGAUCCCCUUCCCGACUUUUUUCCUUCUCUUUCCCUCUCCUCCUCGCUCAUCCUCCUCCGCUUUCCUUUGUUCCCAGAGGCCGGCCCCAGUGUGGUUUCCGUUGUGCUUGGGAGCAGUCGCGUAGUCGCCCGUGUCCAGCUCCUUCUUUGUUCUUUGUUCCGAAAUCGGUCUUCUUCUUCGGACCCCGAACGUCGCCUCACGCUUCCUGCCUUCGUCAAAGGGCCUCCUUUCGUUCGACACAUUGGGCGCAAGAGCGAGUUGCACGGCUGGCCCUCCGUUUCAAGUGACCUCCUUCAGCUGCGGAUGACCUGUGCUUAAUCAAGACCGCUUGAAUGGCAACUGAGAACUUGCUCCAAGCAAAAAGUGUUUUUAUGAAAUCGUGUUAGCUCGUGCGAAUUCACUGAAUAGGAACAAGUGUGUUUUCAUCGAGACAGCUCUCGUCUGCAAACUUGCAUUGUCGGCCUAAUAAAGUGUGAGGUUAUUAAAAUGUGAGGUAAAAAAGGAAAAAUCUGUUGUUUUGUGUUUUGCUGGUGAGGACGAAGCCCCUGCUGUGCACACCUGCGGAAACGAAGUAAGUCCCUUAUCAGUUUGUUCAGAGAUUUGAUUUUUUCCCGUGGUAAUCGUGAAAAA